rnacentral:rRNA from 1 species
CCUACGGGCGGCAGCAGUCGAGAAUCAUUCACAAUGGGGGAAACCCUGAUGGUGCGACGCCGCGUGGGGGAAUGAAGUUCUUCGGUUUGUAAACCCCUUUCAUGUGGGAGCAAAUUAAAAAGAUAGUACCACAAGAGGAAGAGACGGCUAACUCUGUGCCAGCAGCCGCGGUAAUACAGAGGUCUCAAUCGUUGUUCGGAAUCACUGGGCGUAAAGCGUGCGUAGGCUGUUUCGUAAGUCGUGUGUGAAAGGCGCGGGCUCAACCCGCGGACGGCACAUGAUACUGCGAGACUAGAGUAAUGGAGGGGGAACCGGAAUUCUCGGUGUAGCAGUGAAAUGCGUAGAUAUCGAGAGGAACACUCGUGGCGAAGGCGGGUUCCUGGACAUUAACUGACGCUGAGGCACGAAGGCCAGGGGAGCGAAAGGGAUUAGAUACCCGAGUAGUC